AUACCUUUCUCGACCUUUUGGCUAAGAUCAAGUGUAGUAUCUGUUCUUAUCAGUUUAAUAUGUGAUACUUGGACCAUUGGUUCACUAUGAUAUUAAAUUAAUUUUUGUUUUGGGGAGGGAUCAUUACAAUAGCUUGCUACUAGAUCCUUCACGUGUGUCAUCCUUGUGUUGCACUUUUGCAAGGGUUCGGCACACCUGAC